AUAUAUUAUAUUAUAUUAAAAAAUUAAUAUCCCGAAGCCAUACGAGCUAAAAAAUUAAUUAUAAUAGUAAUUUAAUUAAAUGUAGCAUUAUUUAACUAAAAUUAUUUUUUAGGGGUGACAGGCCUUUCAAGUUUGACGAUAUCUGGAUAAUUAGGAAAAAUAUUUAGUAUAUUUCUAAUUUAGAAAUGCUAAGGUUUCUAAAAAAUAUUAUUAGCAUUUAAUUAUUUACUUUAAUGGUUAAAUUCUUAAACUUUAAUGAUAUUAACAUAUUAUAUAUAAAGAAUAUAUUUAUUACUAAUUUUUUUUUGCAAAUUUUUGCAAAAAUUGAAAUUGUAUAUAUCAGUAUGCUAAUAAUAUUUUUGGAAGGAACUCGACAAAUAUAUUUCUGGACUGUUUAUCAAAAACAUAGCCCUAAGAAUUUAUUUUGGGUGAUACCUGCUCAAUGAAUUUUUUUAAAUAGCCGCAGUACCUUGACUGUGCAAAGGUAGCAUAAUCAGUUGGCUUAUAAUUGAAGUCUGGCAUGAAUGGAUCUACUGGAAAAAAUUGUCUACUAAAAAUAAAUUGAAGUUACUUAAUAAGUGAAAAUUCUUAUGUAUAUAUAAAAGACGAGAAGACCCUAGAAAUUUUUUAUAAAUGAAUAUAUAAAUAUUUUGUUGGGGCGACAAGGUAACAAAUAACUUACCUAUUUUUUUGAAUUUUAUUUAAAGAGUAAUUAAAUUACUCUAGGGAUAACAGCAUUAUUUAUUAAAAAGUUUGUGACCUCGAUGUUGGACUAGGAAAAUUUUUAUUUAGAAGAUAAAAGUAUAGGCUCUGUUCGAGCUUCUUUUCCUACAUGAUCUGAGUUCAGACCGG
rnacentral:rRNA from 1 species